rnacentral:rRNA from 1 species
UACGGAGGGGGGCUAGCGUUGUUCGGAAUUACUGGGCGUAAAGCGCGCGUAGGCGGCUUUUGUAAGUUAGAGGUGAAAGCCCCGGAGCUUAACUCCGGAACUGCCUUUAAGACUGCAUCGCUAGAAUCGUGGAGAGGUGAGUGGAAUUCCGAGUGUAGAGGUGAAAUUCGUAGAUAUUCGGAAGAACACCAGUGGCGAAGGCGACUCACUGGCCUGUUCUUGACGCUGAGGCGCGAAAGCUAGGGGAGCAAACGGGG